rnacentral:rRNA from 1 species
CAGUCGCCGCGGUAAUACAGAGGGUGCGAGCGUUAAUCGGAUUUACUGGGCGUAAAGCGUGCGUAGGCGGCUUCUUAAGUCGGAUGUGAAAUCCCUGAGCUUAACUUAGGAAUUGCAUUCGAUACUGGGAAGCUAGAGUAUGGGAGAGGAUUGUAGAAUUCCAGGUGUAGCGGUGAAAUGCGUAGAGAUCUGGAGGAAUACCGAUGGCGAAGGCAGCCAUCUGGCCUAAUACUGACGCUGAGGUACGAAAGCAUGGGGAGCAAACAGGAUUAGAGACCCCUGUAGUCCCUGUCUCUUAUAC